rnacentral:rRNA from 1 species
AACGAACGCUGGCGGCAGGCUUAACACAUGCAAGUCGAACGCCCCGCACGGGGGGUGGCAGACGGGUGAGUAACGCGUGGGAAUCUACCCAGAUCUUCGGAACAACUGAGGGAAACUUCAGCUCAUACAGGAUACGCCCUACCGGGGAAAGAUUUAUCGGAUCUGGAUGAGCCCGCGUUGGAUUAGCUAGUUGGUGAGGUAAUGGCUCACCAAGGCGACGAUCCAUAGCUGGUCUGAGAGGAUGAUCAGCCACACUGGGACGGAGACACGGCCCAGACUCCUACGGGAGGCAGCAGUGGGGAAUAUUGGACAAUGGGCGGAAGUCUGAUCCAGCCAUGCGUCGUGAGUGAUGAAGGCCUUAGGGUUGUAAAGCUCUUUCAGUAGGGAAGAAAUGACGGUACCUACAGAAGAAGCCCCGGCUAACUUCGUGCCAGCCGCCGCUGUAAUAC